GUGGGGAAUAUUGGACAAUGGGCGAAAGCCUGAUCCAGCCAUGCCGCGUGUGUGAAGAAGGUCUUCGGAUUGUAAAGCACUUUAAGUUGGGAGGAAGGGCAGUAAGUUAAUACCUUGCUGUUUUGACGUUACCGACAGAAUAAGCACCGGCUAACUUCGUGCCAGCAGCCGCGGUAAUACGAAGGGUGCAAGCGUUAAUCGGAAUUACUGGGCGUAAAGCGCGCGUAGGUGGUUUGGUAAGUUGGAGGUGAAAUCCCCGGGCUCAACCUGGGAACUGCCUCCAAAACUGCAUGACUAGAGUACGGUAGAGGGUAGUGGAAUUUCCUGUGUAGCGGUGAAAUGCGUAGAUAUAGGAAGGAACACCAGUGGCGAAGGCGACUACCUGGACUGAUACUGACACUGAGGUGCGAAAGCGUGGGGAGCAAACAGGAUUAGAAACCCCAGUAGUCC
rnacentral:rRNA from 1 species